UGGGGAAUAUUGCGCAAUGGGCGAAAGCCUGACGCAGCAACGCCGCGUGAGUGAUGAAGGCCUUCGGGUCGUAAAGCUCUGUCGGAGGGAACGAAUGCUCCUGAAGUUAACAGCCUCAGGAGGUGACGGUACCCCCAAAGGAAGCACCGGCUAACUCUGUGCCAGCAGCCGCGGUAAUACAGAGGGUGCAAGCGUUGUUCGGAAUCAUUGGGCGUAAAGGGCGCGUAGGCGGCAAUUCAAGUCAUCUGUGAAAUCUCCGGGCUUAACUCGGAACGGUCAGAUGAUACUGCUUUGCUAGAGUGCAGAAGGGGCAAUCGGAAUUCUUGGUGUAGCGGUGAAAUGCGUAGAUAUCAAGAGGAACACCUGAGGUGAAGACGGGUUGCUGGGCUGACACUGACGCUGAGGCGCGAAAGCCAGGGGAGCAAACGGGAUUAGAUACCCUAGUAGUCCCUGAGCGGGCUGGCAAGGCGCAU
rnacentral:rRNA from 1 species